AAAGCAGCCCAGGGCCGCCGCCCAGCGCCCCCCAGCCCCGAGGAGAGCCGUCGCGACCGGGGGCUGCCUGGGCAAGGGCGGGGCGAGAGCGCAGAACGCCUGCUCUCGGACAGGGUGUUCUUAAAAUAAACCGGAAAGAACGGAGGUAAAAAUACUGGAGUGUUUCCUCCACACUGGAAAGGAGAGAGGAGGUGGGGAGGGGUAUGGUAUUUGUAGGGCAGCGCUGUGAACAAUGGAACCAUCAAAAAGGCCUUCUCCCAGCCGCCUCACCAACCACGGACAUUCCUGGCCCAACAAGCCCUCCUGGCCUGGUUUUGAGCCCUGCUUCCCAGAUCUGGGGACCCUUCACCUGCCUCUACUACUGCAAAUGAUUGGAUAUUCGUCUGCCUUGGCUCUUCCCUAAUGUGUGGAACUAAUUUUGUUCACUCUGUUUCAUGCUGGACCUGGCCUGAAAAUGGGCCCUUACAUUGUCUUUGCACUUUCCAACUUGCCAAGUUUCUGAAAGAAGGACCAAAGUAAUGCCAAGAACUCCCAGAUGAAGAGGACCUUCCUUAGACCUAUAACAGAUUCACUACUUGACUUCAGAGGGACGUUUCAGCUAAUUCUCAGGAAAAGGUCAAAACAGGCCUGUGACUGUCCCUCGAAUACUGAAGGUAUAAACAAG
rnacentral:antisense_RNA from 1 species